ensembl:lncRNA novel transcript
ACUGUCAAAUGCUCCUUCAGGCCACUAAAUCACCACAGUAAGAUCAUAGCUUCAGGACCUAAGUAGCUCCUGGGGAUGGGAAAGAGAUGACUGACUGAGGUGGUUGAUGGGAUUCUUACAGCAACAAAGCACCAUCUUGGAAGCAGAGAGCCACCCUCACCAGAACUGAAUGCAGGCACCGUGACCUUGAACUUCCCAGCCUCCAGAACUUGCUGCCAGGACCUGCAGAACUCCAGAUGGAUUCCCCUGGCUGACACUUGAAAGAUUUUUGCUCUAACUUAAUAGAAAUGACAGACUGGCAAAGCCAUAGUUAAAUCAGCUGGAGGAGCCACAAAUCAAAUCAUCUUUACAGAAAGAUGUGAGUGCACAUGGAAAUUUAUGGAGUCUCUCAGCAUUGUAGAAGAGCCUCUGUUUCUUCUCACUGGUUCCUGUCCUCCUCAGCUUGGUAUAUAACUCCUGAGGGCUGAAUACCUGGUUGCUGAAGGAUCCAGUCCCUGCCCUAUAACCGAGGAAGAAUUUCUACUUCCCCUUCCUGUCCAGAAGUGAUAUUCCCAGGUAUCACCUUUUUCUCUCCUGCCCUAUGGACUUCAGAUAUAUCUAUCUGCCUUUCACUAUGACAAUAAAUGUCACUGAUUUGCUUUAAUGGUAGAAAAGACUACAGAGAGAGAGAGUAAAAAUAAAAAAUGUAUUAAUAUGGGAGAAUAUACACCCAGAGGAAUUUUUGAAAAUAGUUUCUCCAUCACAGAAGCAAAACUAGAGCUGGGUGGUUUAUACUGGGUGAUAUAGUUUGGCUGUGUCCCUACCCAAAUCUCACCUUGAAUUGUAAUAAUUCCCAUGUGUCAAGUGUGGGACCAGGUAGAGAUAAUUGAAUCAUGGGGGUGGUUUUCCCCAUACCGUUCUCACGGUAAUGAAUAAGUCUCAUGAGAUCUGAUGGUUUUAUAAAUGGGAGUUCCCCUGCACAAGCUGUCUUGCCUGCUGUCAUGUAAGAUGUGACUUUGCUCCUCAUUCACCUUCUGCCAUGACUGUGAGGCUUCCCCAGCCAUGUGGAACUGUGAGUCAAUCAAACCUCCUUCCUGUAUAAAUUACCUAGUCUCAGGUAUGUCUUUAUUAGCAGUGUGAGAACAGACUAAUACUAUCUCCUCCUGUAGAUAGCAAAGGAGUGAUUCUACUGCAUUAACAUUAAUCUCAUGAAUUUAGCAUCAUUCCAGUCCUGGUUUUAGCUCAAGCCUAAUUGGAGGAGAGUAGACAGCAACCAGCUGUAAUACAAAAAGCAACCAUUUGGAAUCAGAGCUAGAUUCAAAUCCAGGUCUCAUCACUUCAUACAAUGUUACCUUUGGGCAAGUUAUUCUGUCUCUUUGGGCUUCAAGUGGCCUUUCCAAAAUGUCAUCUACAUCAUAAAAGUGUUGCUGAUAUUCAGUGAAAUAUUCCAUAUGAAACCCCUCACAAAGGACCAGGAACAUAGUAAGUCUAAAUACAUGUUUGUUUCCAUUCCUCCACCAUUUUCCUUUAUAAGAUGAAGUGAGAAAUUAUAUGCUCUCUGGGAAAUGGCUAUCUGCAAAGACUUGUGGCAUUCUACUUUCUGGAUAUAUUGCCUUAUGUCUGGCAAACUGUACUGAUUAAAACUUUGAACAGAAGAAGGAAAAACUAAUUUGGAAGGGCUAAUCAAGACUCUCCAUAGUCCAAAAGGGAUGAUUUCUCAGUUGUGCAGAGAACCAAUAAACCUCCAUCCUGAGGACAAAAGUAAUUUUGUGAAACUGCAUGAAGUUUCUCUAGAGAGAGAGACUUCACAAAGCCCAGUGGUCACAGCUGUGCAGUGGAACCGAACUACUUUGAAUCUCUGCCAUCAAAGGAAAGAAUCUCAGGAUUUUCUGCUACAGAAGCAUGAUCGUGUUUAAAUUCUUAAAAUGCUGCAUUAGCAAGAAUUCUCCACAGAAACAGACUCUCUCUCUAGAGUUGAGAGAGAGAGAGAGUUAAUAUAGGAAUUGGCUCAUGGGACAAUGGAGGCCAAGAAGUUCCAGAAUCUGAUGUCUGCAAGCCAGCAAACAAAGCCAAUAAUGUAAUUUAGUCUGAGUUCAAAGGCCCAAGAAUGGAGGUACUGAUGGUAUAAUUCCUGAUCUGAGUCUAAAGGCCCAAGAACCAGGAACACUCAUGUUAACAGAAAAUGAAUAGGCCAGGUGCAGUGGCUCACACCUGUAAUCCCAGCACUUUGGGUGGCUGAGGCCGGCAGAUCCAUCGAGGUCAGGAGUUUGAGACCAGCCUGACCAACAUGGUGAAACCCUGUCUCUACUAAAAAUACAAAAAUUAGCUAGAUAUGGUGGUGUGUGCCUGUAGUCCCAGCUACUUGGGAGGAUGAGCCACAAGAAUGAACCCAAGAGGCAGAGGUUGCAG